rnacentral:rRNA from 1 species
UACGGAGGGGGCUAGCGUUGUUCGGAAUUACUGGGCGUAAAGCGCACGUAGGCGGCUUGGUAAGUUAGAGGUGAAAGCCCGAAGCUCAACUUCGGAAUUGCCUUUAAAACUGCAAAGCUAGAAUCAUGGAGAGGUUAGUGGAAUUCCGAGUGUAGAGGUGAAAUUCGUAGAUAUUCGGAAGAACACCAGUGGCGAAGGCGACUAACUGGACAUGUAUUGACGCUGAGGUGCGAAAGCGUGGGGAGCAAACAGG